rnacentral:rRNA from 1 species
GCCGUAGGGCGCGAGCGUUGUCCGGAUUUAUUGGGCGUAAAGAGCUCGUAGGCGGCUUGUCGCGUCGAAUGUGAAAUUUUAGGGCUCAACCCUGACAUUGCAUUCGAUACGGGCAGGCUUGAGUUCGGUAGGGGAGACUGGAAUUCCUGGUGUAGCGGUGAAAUGCGCAGAUAUCAGGAGGAACACCGGUGGCGAAGGCGGGUCUCUGGGCCGAAAUUGACGCUGAGGAGCGAAAGCGUGGGGAGCAAACAGG